CGACAAGCGGUGGAGCAUGUGGUUUAAUUCGAAGCAACGCGAAGAACCUUACCAGGUCUUGACAUCCCUGACAACCCGAGAGAUCGGGCGUUCCCCUUCGGGGGACAGGGUGACAGGUGGUGCAUGGUUGUCGUCAGCUCGUGUCGUGAGAUGUUGGGUUAAGUCCCGCAACGAGCGCAACCCUCGACCUUAGUUGCCAGCGAGUCAAGUCGGGCACUCUAAGGUGACUGCCGGCUAAAAGUCGGAGGAAGUGGGGAUGACGUCAAAUCAUCAUGCCCCUUAUGACCUGGGCUACACACGUGCUACAAUGGGCGGUACAAAGGGUCGCAAACCCGCGAGGGGGGAGCCAAUCCCAAAAGGCCGCUCUCAGUUCGGAUUGCAGGCUGCAACUCGCCUGCAUGAAGCCGGAAUCGCUAGUAAUCGCAGAUCAGCACGCUGCGGUGAAUAAGUUCUCGGGUUUU
rnacentral:rRNA from 1 species